UCCUACGGGGGGCAGCAGUGGGGAAUCUUGCGCAAUGGGCGAAAGCCUGACGCAGCGACGCCGCGUGAGUGAUGAAGGCCUUCGGGUUGUAAAGCUCUGUGGGGAGAGAAGAAUUAGUGCGGGCUAAUACUCCGCAUGAUGACGGUAUCUCCUUAGCAAGCACCGGCUAACUCUGUGCCAGCAGCCGCGGUAAGACAGAGGGUGCAAACGUUGUUCGGAAUUACUGGGCGUAAAGCGCGUGUAGGCGGCCAUGUAAGUUGGAUGUGAAAGCCCCGGGCUCAACCCGGGAAGUGCAUUCACAACUG
rnacentral:rRNA from 1 species